ensembl:ncRNA K02B2.36 ncRNA
AGUUUCUCCCACGUUAGACUACGAAUUCCAAAAAAAAACUCGCAACAUUUUUCCUUCUCAACAAUGUCCUUUUUGUCCACUUCCUUACUCUCAUCACAUUCUGAAUGCAUCCGUUUAAAAGAUCUCAAAUGACAC